GCGCUGGGUUAAGCAGCACAUCUACUCAAACUGGAACUAGAGAGAAGAUGAGCAUGGCUCCUAUGCAAGGAUGGCAUGUGAAUUCACGAAGCAUUCCGUAUUUUU